ensembl:snoRNA
CCAAUACAAUGAUGAUAACAUAGUUCAGCAGACAUAACAGUGGUGAAUAACACUUAGUCUUUCGCUCCUAUCUGAUGUAUCUG